CACGUACAAACUCAGAGUGGUAUGUCAGGAGCGCAUGAGUGUGCCCAUUGCCAUUUGAGAUAUGUCAGGUCAGUCAGGAGAGAUUUAGAAGCCACCCAAUUCCAGAUUAAUCACAAGUCCCAACAGCUAUUGAGCAAUCAAGUUGAAAGAGUACCACUGCUGUAGCAGAUGCAAUUUGGUUGCCAACCACAACUGAGCAAGGAGAUUUACAGGGACCAGUACUGGAGUAUCAUCACCAAGCUAUCACAUACCAACAUUGAAGAAGAGACAAUGAACACUUCUUCCUUACAUGUGCUCUAUACAACUGUGAGAGACAUGUGAUAGUAUCAAGUGACAAGUAUGCAUGCCUGGGAGUCCUCCUAAUAUCUGUGCAGCUGCUUCACGUUGGAGGCAAUUACCUCAGGAGAGUUCAAUACUCCAUAGUGCAAGCAACUGCUACUUACCUCAUGCAAACAGGUUGUCUAACUACCUCUUAGCUGGUGAAGAACAAGGAAUCUUAUAAUGAUUUUGUCACCCAUUGCUUAAAAUUGUGAGAGACUACUGAUUACAUGGAGAGAAUGCACCAGAAGAAAGGAAAAGGAAAACAUGAAAAACAAUUUGAAUGAUCCAGAUAAGUUGGACGAAAGUCCUCAAAUACCACAAGAAGAAAAUGAAACUGAAAAUACACAUAACUAUCCAAGUCAAAUAAAUCAACUCAAUGAUGAAUUGUUAGAGAUGGCACAGGCGUUGAACAUUGUUAAUACAAGAGCAGAUUUGGCCACAGAAACAAGUGAAGAUUUGACUG